ensembl:lncRNA ETS2-AS1 ETS2 antisense RNA 1
AAUCACUUCCCACAAGGAGAAGCAGGCUGGGUGUGCUCCAGGCUCCGGAAGCUCCAGCAGCCCCAGAGAUGAGGGUGGUCUGCCCCCCACACUCCCUGCCCCAGCCCAUCCUGGACCUUCUCCUGACACACAGCAAACCACACUUAGCUGUCAUUGAUGAAUCGGAGCCUCUGCCAGACAGCCGGCCAAGCCGACGCUAACUCACCCCACAGCCUGAAAUAGAAACUCGCUCGUUUUCCAGUGUGUGACAAAGAAGGAAGGACAUCAACUGGGAGUGGCCCAGAAGCCCGAAGCUGAGAGGACAAAGCUCACUGGGGUAAGUUAACAUCACUCCAGAUCAGCCCCGGUGAAGUCAGCGAGAAUUGCCUACACCUGAAAAAAUGUGGCAAACUUAUUUGUAAAGCUUAUCUGACACUUUUGUCUAUAUUUGAUACAUUCAGUCCUCCACAAUCUCUACUUUACCAAAAUCCAUGCGGGUGCAUCAUAAAGAGAGAUGCUUGAUGACCAAGUUGUUCUGGACAAAUCAAGGAGGGAAUAUUGAAAUUGGAACCACAACACUUGGGUAUAUCAGGUUGGAAAAGACAGUUCAACAGAUGGCUGGUCACCUUGAUUGAGUAGAAUGCCACUGGAAGACCACAAAUCUCUAAACCAUAGUGAAGAAUUGGCCAAGGGGAGCAAAAUCCAAUCAAUUCAAGGGGUUCCCCUUUCCAGGGUCUUGGACAGCGAGGUGAGCGUGUGUUUCUAGCAGGUAAAGCUGACACGUGGCAUCCAGGAGGUCUCCACUCAACUUGAAGAAAUUGAAUGAGUGCAUUUUGUUUCCUGCUUAUAAUUUCCACUUAAAGCACCUCUGUAGUUGACCUCAAGGCCUGCUUUGAUAUCAAUCUCCAAAGCACAAAAGGAAUCAUUUUGCACUUUUUUUCUUCAAGGGACUUACAAAUGAAGGAUCUGAUAAGCACAGUUGAUGAUUAAACCUAAUAAGCUGGC